rnacentral:rRNA from 1 species
GAUGAACGCUGGCGGCGUGCCUAAUACAUGCAAGUCGAGCGAACAGAUGAGGAGCUUGCUCCUCUGACGUUAGCGGCGGACGGGUGAGUAACACGUGGAUAACCUACCUAUAAGACUGGGAUAACUUCGGGAAACCGGAGCUAAUACCGGAUAAUAUAUUGAACCGCAUGGUUCAAUAGUGAAAGACGGUUUUGCUGUCACUUAUAGAUGGAUCCGCGCCGCAUUAGCUAGUUGGUAAGGUAACGGCUUACCAAGGCAACGAUGCGUAGCCGACCUGAGAGGGUGAUCGGCCACACUGGAACUGAGACACGGUCCAGACUCCUACGGGAGGCAGCAGUAGGGAAUCUUCCGCAAUGGGCGAAAGCCUGACGGAGCAACGCCGCGUGAGUGAUGAAGGUCUUCGGAUCGUAAAACUCUGUUAUUAGGGAAGAACAAAUGUGUAAGUAACUAUGCACGUCUUGGCGGUACCUAAUCAGAAAGCCACGGCUAACUACGUG